UACGUAGGGUCCGAGCGUUGUCCGGAAUUAUUGGGCGUAAAGAGCUCGUAGGCGGUUUGUCGCGUCUGCUGUGAAAUCCCGAGGCUCAACCUCGGGCCUGCAGUGGGUACGGGCAGACUGGAGUGCGGUAGGGGAGAAUGGAAUUCCUGGUGUAGCGGUGGAAUGCGCAGAUAUCAGGAGGAACACCGAUGGCGAAGGCAGUUCUCUGGGCCACUACUGACGCUGAGAAGCGAAAGCAUGGGGAGCGAACAGG
rnacentral:rRNA from 1 species